rnacentral:rRNA from 1 species
CGCCUUGCCAGCCCGCUCAGAAACUUAAAGGAAUUGACGGGGGCCCGCACAAGCGGAGGAGCAUGUGGUUUAAUCGAUGAUACGCGAGGAACCUUACCUGGGCUCGAACGUAAGAUGACUGUAGGUGAAAGCUUACAUCUCUUCGGAGCAUUUUACGAGGUGCUGCAUGGUUGUCGUCAGCUCGUGCCGUGAGGUGUCGGGUUAAGUCCCAUAACGAGCGCAACCCCUACCUUUAGUUGCCAUCAGGUUAAGCUGGGGACUCUAAAGGAACUGCCUACGCAAGUAGUGAGGAAGGCGGGGAUGACGUCAAAUCAGCACGGCCCUUACGUCCAGGGCUACACACGUGCUACAAUGGCCGAUACAGAGGGCAGCUACCUGGUGACAGGAUGCAAAUCUCCAAAGUCGGUCUCAGUUCGGAUCGGAGUCUGCAACCCGACUCCGUGAAGUUGGAUUCGCUAGUAAUCGCGCAUCAGCCAUGGCGCGGUGAAUACGUUCCCGGGCCUU